GGGGCCCCAUUUUGGUCAGAGACAGCCCUGGGUACUCAAUUUUCCUUCCAGAUUACAUUCAUUGUUGGUUAUGGAAGACUAAUUUGUCCGUAGGUGUGAAUGUGAGUAUGAAUGUUUUUUUGUCUAUUUGUGCCCUGCGAUUGGCUGGCCAGCAGUUCAGGGUGUACCCUGCCUCUCGCCUAAAGCCAGCUGGGAUAGGCUGCUGUACUUCCGCAACUGACAGUUAGGAUAAGGCUUACAGAGAAUGGAUGAAUGGACAGAAUGGUGCCCCAACCUCAGGUCGUAUUGAAUCCCAUAGAGCCUAUACUUUACAUAUUUUGAAAUAAUUAUAUAUUGUGUAGAUAUAUAUUUUUUAAACUGGAAUACAUUGGAUAUAUUUCGCAGCAGGGAGAGACACGACAAGGACGCCAAACAAUAGUGUUGGAUCGCGGCCUCCCGACUGCUAUUCCUUCCCUUUCCAUUCACCUUCAUUUGCACAGUAAAUAAAACUAUGGAAGCUUGAGCUCGCGGGUACGAGUUAGUUUGGUUUUCCUCGUCACUGUGCUUUUAACACGGAUACGGACUUUGGAGCAAAGGACGCCUUUCGGUGGGAUUUAUCAAUUUGGGAGAUUUGGCUGGACAGUCUUAACGACAGUAAAAUGAGGCGGGUAGCUGUGGUUACCAGGCACAAUGGCCUCGUAGCUCCGCUGGGUAACAACAACUCCGGAGCUUCAAGCAUCAUUUCGCUACCCCAAAGGAGAGCUGUUAAUAUUUCCACCUCUACCGACAGAUGUACCAGUGAAGGAAAGGAAUGUUUAUUGAAUACUAACAGGGGCCCCGCUGUCAAAUCUGAGCUGGUUUGCAAGUGGACAGGCCGAAUUUCCUCAAGACAGAGGUUUGAGCGGAUGGCUUCGUUUGUCUGCAACCAAAGUUUUAGCUCCAUGCACGACCUAGUAGACCACGUCACCGCCGAGCACGUAGCAACAGGGCUCGACACCCUCAGUCAUGUCUGCAUGUGGAACGAAUGUGUACGAGAAGGGAAGGCUUUUAAAGCCAAAUAUAAACUUAUCAACCAUAUCCGUGUGCACACCGGGGAGAAGCCCUUUUUGUGUGCAUUUCCCAACUGCGGCAAGAUGUUUGCACGAUCCGAGAACCUCAAGAUCCACACUCGCACGCACACUGGUAGGAUGGACGAUUCUGUUUUGAUAACGUUGUAGUAAUGCAAUUAGUGUCCUACUGGCAGCCAGUGACUGUAAAGAAGUAAUCAUAAACAUCCCCAAUGUGUAGGAUCUCCCCCAUGUAUAAAAUGGCACAGUUCACUAAUGUGUCACAUCGGCCCUUUGCACUUACUAUACGUUCCUACCAAAAAAUAGGCAUUCAUUUAUUGUGGCAUAUUCAUUGUGUGUUUUUUCAUAUGAGGUGGAUCUUGGUAUUUCAGGGCAAGAAAGUCUUUAAAAUAUAAUAAUAUAUCAUAUUUUAAUUUGUGAAUGAAUGAACCUUAGGAAUGCUGCUAAUAGUGAAUUAAUAAAAUUGUAAAUUCCCUCCCCAAAACUAAUUUUCAAUCUUUAAAUGUUUCAUUUAAAGCUACAGAAGUGUAACUUACCUCUGAUCUGCACCGAACUAUUCAAGUAGUGGUUUAGAAUCUUUCAAAGCUCAUUGUCCAUUGGCCCUGUGGAUUUAUAAUGCCAUUAAAUGAUCUAGCAAAGGGAUGGGAGUCAAACCUUCAUAAAACAAUUAGCAAAAUAUCUAACUUUACUACUGUGGCUUUUUGCAUGCCGUAAUUGUGCACAUUAUUUUAUUAUAUUUCGUUUUACGAAGCUACUGGUUAGCAGGUUGGCCUCACAUACGAUCCAAUCCAAUCCAAUGCACUAUGGUAGUGCAGAGGUACAGGGUUCGAUUCCGGCUCCUUAGUUUGCAUGUUCUCUCCUUGCCUGCGUGGGUUUUCUCUGGGCACUCCGGUUUCCUCCCACAUUCCAAAUACAGGCAUGGCAGGUUGAUUGGGUACUCCAAAUUGUCCCUAGGUCUGAUUGUGAGUGCAAAUGGUUGUUUGUCUAUGUGUGCCCUGCGAUUGGCUCGCAAACAGGUCAGACUGCCCAAAGACAGCAGGGAUUGGCUCCAGCAUACCCACGAACCUUGUGAGGAUAAGCAGAUUAGAAAAUGGAUGGAUGGAUGGAUAUUUAGAUAUUUAGUUUUAGAAACAACUGCCCAAGCCUAGGAAAACAGAAAUGCUAUGUAAGACGGCAAGUUCAAUCUUGACCUAUGAGAAGCACUGCCCUAUCGGCAAUUGCAGAGCACAUUCAUUCAUUCAUUCAUUCAUCUUCCUAACCGCUUGAUCCUCACUAGGGUCGCGGGGGGUGCUGGAGCCUAUCCCAGCUGUCUCCGGGCAGUAGGCGGGGGACACCCUGAACCGGUUGCCAGCCAAUCGCAGUUGCAGAGCACAAUGAUAAUAAAAUACAAGACAUGCAAGAUGGCGGCCUCAUGGAUGGAUGUAAUGUUAUUGAGUGUCGAAGAAUCUUGCGAGAAACUUUGCUUUAUGUGUUUUCCCUGCAAAGAAAUCCACUGUAGUGAAUUUCUGCUUCUGUGGCAAAAAUUAACUAACCAACUAACCAAUAGCAAAGACAUACUUACAAGUAGUGUUGCCAGUACAGCUUCAUUAGGGCCCCUCAACAACAUCCCCUCUUUUUUUCUUGACCUUAAGUAUAAAUAAUUGGAAUUAUGUGUGGAUUGUUCAAACAUGGACGGUGAGAGCGUUCCACCCUGCGGGACAUAUUCAUGUCGAACAUGUGGUCAUUACGACCAUCACUAUUUUGAUUAAAUAAGAGCAAAUAUGCUUUAAAAAAACACAAACGUUAAUCCCUUUCAGAUCUUAAAAUAAGAUGCCAAACAUUUCAAAAGGUUGGUGUAUUUUUUUCAGUGACUAACAGAGUGGAAUUAUAACAAAUGAAAGUGUGUUUCCACAAUAUUUUUAUUUAACACAUUGCAACUUCAUUUUGAUGCAAGUCUAAUCUAGCGUGUUGUGCCUCUCUGGGCAGGGUUAGCCAGGGUGACUCAACCUCAGUGAAGGGUGGCUAUGGGUGGCCACGUGUAUGCAUUGUUCAUCAUACCAUUCACAGUAAUAGUACCAUGGUAUAAAAUUCACACAUAUCCAGAACAAUGCCUAUCUCACUCAUAAUAAAGCAGGAACAAAUCUAAGUAAAAAGCAAUAUUCUGCUCAAUUUAAUUUAUUAAAUAAUGCAAUUUUCUUUGAAGUGGCUUUGCUUUUGUGUACUAUUUCAUAGGCAUCUUCUAUGCCUUGCAUUGAUUUUCUAGCAAUCACCAAAGAUUAGUUGUUACAGCUGGUCAUUUUGCAAGCUACGAUCAACAGCUCCUUCAUUCCUAUCAUAUCUAAAAAACUCAAUGACACAAAAUAUUUUCUUUCUAAAAAAAAUCAAACUGUUUUUCAGUUUGUUCCCAGUUUUACCAUGACCAUGUGUGUGUAGGAUUGGUGUACGUCUUAUUUUAGUUCUUGAAACCAUGACUGUGGAUGCUAUGACAAUAAUUACUUCUUAGCCAUGUUUUUUUUUUCCCUUACGAUGGAUUGGAUGAUUUUUGUUGAAACUGACUGUAAUAUUUGAAUGUUAGAGUUUAUUUAUUUAUUCUUUUAAUAUGCAGUUAAUAUAAAAAAGUGCAGUUAGUAUAAAAAUGUGGCAAAGUAUUUUAUGGGUCUACAUCAAUGUGAAAAUGUCAGAAAAAUCACAGAUAUUUAAAUUUUCGUCUGCAUUUGGCCAAGGUGCCGCCGCAGAGUAACAAGGGGUGGCUAGCACCACCGCUGGCCGCCAUUUAGCUUUGCCACUGUCUCUGGGGGUUCUGCUGCACAGAGCUACUCUGUUACCAACGCACGUGUUCGUUUGGUAUCAGAAAGUCGGCCGCACUUGGCAUUAAGUCUCGUAUGCCGUGUUUUGAAUAUGGUGGACAUGCUGUGCCUCGCUGAGCAUUUUGGAUGGUGCGACUGUCACUCCCAUCGGCGCAUCUCACAAUUUGGUUGCAAAAAGUAGACAUUUUUGACUGGCUAAAUUGAGGUGUAUUUUACAGCGCAGGUGGUGUAACACAAUUUGGGUGGAUUUGAUCAAGUUGCAUGCAGACAAAUUCUCUGCUCCUUGACAUGCGUGGGGGAAGUCAUCAUAUUUCAUUCAUAAAUAUGACACUGUUUCCGCAAUGUCAAGAAUGGUGUUGACAAGAUGAACAUCAUAGCACAAAUAAGGCUGGGAAAAGAAGGACUUCCAUCCCACAAAGGUUCAAACACCCCGUUAUGCGCAAGUGUCUAAAAGUGUAGAAAAAUGCCAAAACAAAGAUAACUCCACCCAUGUGCACAGCUGACUACGCUUUACCCUGGACUGACGCUCAGCACGGAAAUAGGGUUCCAUUAGGCGGAGAAAAAAAAAUAGUGUGUUUCCGGUAACGCAACCGACCGAGAAUUUCUACGUCGAAAAUGCCGGCCGUAAAGUUUUUUUUUUUUCAAACAACCCUCUACAUUUUUGCGUCGAGCGUUUACAUCGGUGCAAACUCUCGCGAUAUUCACGUUGAGCGCGUGCGUCGUUUGCCCUGUCGUCUGUCAACAACAUUGAAUCAUGGUGGCGGCCGCGAUCUUCGACGACAGUUUAAACCGCGUUUUCUGUGUAACAGUCAUGCUUGCACCAUAAUCUUAAGAAAAUAGCAUCCAUUGACAUAUCGAAAAAAUUCAGCAAACUAUUUGAUGAACACCACGGGCCAAGUAUAAACCACGUAAAAAUAGCACAGUGUCAAUGUGCCAACGGUGAAAUCUAUGACAUUGAUGUUAUGGAUAUGUGUAGACAUAUUCGAUGUCAUGAUGAAAGCAGCACGUUUAGAAAAGGAAAAAAAAACCUAGAAUUUUAGUAGAAAACUCCAAGGUAGGUGGGUCUACAACGUGUAACUAGACUUAAAGUUAUACUAUUAAAUAAAAAGAAUGUUUUAUGUUUUAUGGUUAUUUUGUUUGCAUUUUUUAUGAAAAAAAAAAGAUUUAAAAAAAACUUUGUCCUACCUACCGACCCUAUGCUUAAAUUUCAUGUUACCUGAAAUACACUUUUUUGUUUGGCCUUAACAUACAAUAACAUAUUGAUUCCAAAAAAUGCAUUCAUUAGAGGAACACUACUUUUAUGGAGCCUAUUAGACCUGCAGUAAUGCCUCGGUUUUUUUUGUGGUUCAGAAACCCCCCGCAAAAGGUGGAUUUGUCCGCCCCCUAGCAAUUUUCCAAAAUGUAUACGUGGGUACCAGCAUUUUUACAGUAUUUAUACUUACAUAUUUGAGACAAAGAUUACAACAGCCCAUGUAUUUAAUCAUAAAACAUAUAUAUAGUAUUGUAUAUAGUAAAUAACGUAUUGGCCCGAAUAGAAGACAGGUGGGUUUUUUUGCAUUGAAAUAAGACUGAAAAAGUGGGAGUCGUCUUAUAUUCGAGGUCUGGACAUUAUACCCAUAACCAUGCUAGAUGGCGCCAGAUAUCAUUGAAGCGAAUUGAACUUCAUUCCCCAGGCCAAAGUGAACCCCAGCCACGAAGAAGAAAAAUAAAAAUAGCGGUAGCACAUAGAAGAAAAAUAAAAAACAGCGACAAAUAAAAAAGAAGACAUAACAGAAAAUGGAGAAACGUAGCGACAAUCUGGAGAAAAGUGGGUCGAAGAUCGGCCAGGUUAACCGGCAGCUUAGGAGAAGUUAUGAUGUAAUUUACAUUUCAAAAACCAGAAGCCAUUCAUUUACGAAUGUGAUUGCACUUUAGUUUACAUAUUUAAAUGUUCAGAUAUUAAGAUUUGAAUGAGGCAAAAUAACUGCUUUUUCUCUCAAAUAUAUUGUUAGAAUCCUUUGUUUCAGAUGUGCUGUAAUUAUUUUCUGUAAAAUUAAUUUGCUGUUCAAAAAGUCUUUUUUCAAACUUGAGUCUUGAAAUAGCGGGGGGGUUGUCUUAUAAUCAGGGCCGUCUUAUAUUCAGGCCAAUACAUUCAGGUAACAUUAAUUAACGUUGCCUACAUAGAGAAGAGAAAAGCCUUGUCUUGGUGGCAUAGAAGAUGCCUCUCGCUUGACUCGUCGGUGACAUUGUUCGGCAACGAACCAGAUGACAUUGUGGAUUCCACAAACGCACAUUCAGAUAAAUCAUGAUCCGACAAGAUUUAUUUACAGAAAAACGAAGGAUGAACAAAGUGUAAACAGAAAUCGCAGGCAACAACAAAAAAAAUCUGGAAAAUCCAAUAAGAACAAAAAGCGAAGAUAAAAUGGAAAUCCGAAAAUACACAAAAUGAAACACCAAAAGUCCAAAUAUGCAAAACUUAAACCAAAAGCUGUUAAUGAACAAACCAAAUUUUACAAAACAAAAACUAUCGGAACAGUAGCGACUAUGAAUACGAACAAAAUAUCUGGAACAGGGGGGUACCCAUUAUGUUGAUCGCGAUCGACCUUUAGCUCGUGGACUGGUCCCAAGUCGAUCGUGAGGGGUCUACAGGGGGAAAACCCCCCAAAACAAAAAUUUGUGUCUGUGUGCGUGCGUUACUAAAAUAUAUUCUUGUGUCAGUGCACAGUGCACCCUUAGCUUCCGAUCACUCUCACUUUCACAAAAAGUAUUUAGAAGAUAAUAAUAAUAAAAAUAAAAAAGGCAAGUCACCUUUAACCUACGGUGGCGCGUGACCUGUCUCACUGGAAGUUGUGAGCGGUCAGCAGUCUGCAAUUGCAGCUUGCGAUCAGAGCUGUUGCAGUAUAUCUUUUAUUGUUAUUAUUUUCAUUCAGAGUUUGUUUCAUGUACAAUUCAUCGAGGUCAUUGGAAAAGAAUGGGAAUCUGGAGGGCAGACAGAAGCAUUUUUAAAUGGUCACGUGAGCUACUGGAGUUAACACGCUGCAAAAGUGCAUCCCAUGCCACUUCGUCAGGUCUCGACGAAGGUAGGCAAUGAUUUCCUUCUCACAAACUGUUGUGUCUACUUGUGUUUCGUUCAUUUUAGAGCCAGUUAUGGCUGUUGCUCAUCAUGGCAUGCGUGUGUAAGUGCGUGCAUAUGCGGUCUAUCGUGGGAGAUUGGUUGAUCAAAAAGUAGAUCUUAGGUUAAAAAAGAUUGGGCACCUCUGAUCUAGAAUAUAUAUCUUGAUUGAGCAUGAACAGCAAGCCAGGUCAAUAAUCCGAUAGUGACUAGGCAGCUUGACUGUCCUUAAUAAAUACAUGGCAGGCUUAAUUGCUAACAAGGCAUAGGCACACUUGCUGAAGAGGCCAUGGAAUGGCCAUUCCGGCUGGUGCUGAAAACAAACAGACCGAGCCAAAAUAUAACAGGAGGCUUUAGGUUCACUAACAGACUCUUCUGCUGUAGGCACCGACGGUGCAGUUGAGGUUUUUAAAUUGGAGAAAAACAUGGUGAUGCAUGGGCGCUAUGAUGUUCCUCUUCUCUUAUUGGUGGAAAUAAGUUUGGUUUUUUACGCUACAUAUCCAUGCGCACCAAAUCCAGUAGACACUCAAACAGCUUCUUCCCUCUAGCCAUUAACUCCUUAAACAGUCACUGACAUAGUCACUCUUCUUGCACCACAAAAUGGUACUACAAAACUACUGGUUACUCUAAAAUGGUUCAAUGAUUUUGUUGUUUACGAUGAUACUAGUGCAGCGUGUUAUACCGGAGGCAAAUUCCUUGUGUGUUCUACAUACUUGGCCAAUAAAGAUGAUUCUGAUUCUGAUUCUGAUUAAAUCAAACAAUGAUAUUUUUUCUUCUGAAGAAAAAAACUUUCCGAGUUGACAGUUUUGAGCUGAGCUUCCUUGUGACGUGUCUAACAAACAGCUGACCGGGAAACUUUAAAAAUAAGGCUUCGCCACCAUCGUUGAAGCAACAUGUCCCUGUUGAUGGUGCCAUCUCCGUAGAGGGACAAACAUGCUCCCACACACCCAUUGCAUUGGCGGCAGGGUGUGUUGGGGGGGGGGGGGGGUGUAUUAGGGCAGAGAUUCUGGAAAUUUCAAGGCCUAGAUAGAAUGGGAUUAAUGUCACAAGUUUCAUGGUCACAGUCAAUUCAUGUCAAAAACAAGUCAUCCGUGCGGUGUCCUCGGCUUCCUGAAGCAGACAAUUCUUUGUGACUGGCCUGUUCAGAUAGCUUGUCCUGGUCUUGAUCUGAGCUGGGUGAACGAGUACUCUUUCAUCCUGAACUGCUCUGACAAUGAUCCGUGAGUUGCAAGGUGCAGAGCCAUCCACAACAAGCACAAUAUCUUCAGGAAUUAAUUUGUGCUAAAUUUUGAUUUGGCAUUCCUGAAACUGUGCUAGGUACUCCUUUGUUCAUCUUUUCCCAAAAAGGUUGGGCAUGUACUUGUAGAUGCUUAAAUUUGCAUAUAGAAUAUAUGUACGGGCGGCCCGGUAGUCCAGUGGUUAGCACGUCGGCUUCACAGUGCAGAGGUACCGGGUUCGAUUGCAGCUCCGGCCUCCCUGUGUGGAGUUUGCAUGUUCUCCCCGGGCCUGCGUGGGUUUUCUCCGGGUGCUCCGGUUUCCUCCCACAUUCCAAAAACAUGCGUGGCAGGCUGAUUGAACACUCUAAAUUGUCCCUAGGUGUGAGUGUGAGCGUGGAUGGUUGUUCGUCUCUGUGUGCCCUGCGAUUGGCUGGCAACCGAUUCAGGGUGUCCCCCGCCUACUGCCCGAAGAUAGCUGGGAUAGGCUCCAGCACCCCCCGCGACCCUAGUGAGGAUCAAGCGGCUCGGAAGAUGAAUGAAUAUAUGUACUCCUCUCGAAAAACACCAGGAGAAAGAGAUUUCUGACCUUUGAGGAAAAGGAGAUGGUUGGGAGUCAAAGCCUCUGUCAUUGGGGUCUGUCAAUGCUUUUGUUAUUGGUCUGUGUAGAGGAGGGGGAGCUGUCAAUUUGCUUUCGACCCUCCUUGGACACAGGUUCUUUUAUCUCUCUACAAGGUGGAAGAAGACCCAACACCACGUCGUCUUUUUUUCAGUUUAUCACAACGCAACACGAAUCGAUUCAGGCUCCUGUGAGUCUCAGAUUUCAUCAGGAAGCGUAGAUAAAAUGCAGUCAUGAAAAUAUAUAGGGACAAUAUGAUAAUGAGAGGUGGGCAGUUACGCCCAAUGCAAAUCCUGGAAACAAAGGUAUGUACAUGGCGUCUGACUCGGUGUAGCUGGAAAAAGUUGGGAGUGUUGAGGUGAGACCAGACCACCACUACCCACUAUUGUCUUCGGUCCGAUCUUUGAUGUGAUGGCAGGAACACAGAUAGUCGAGAUAACAGUUACUCUUUUGAUGUCAAACAUGUUCCCUGGCGGGGGCCCUAAAGGUACUUGGGUCGAGGGGCACUGAAGGUGAUUGUAAUCACAGUGAGUAGUAAACAGCAUUCUACAUUCUUUGUUUUCGUGUUUGAACAAAACCAACAGAGAGGGGCUAAAUAAAGUCACAGUAUAGAAGAAAUCCCUUAACAGUCUGCUAUUGAUAAUAGCUUCAGUUUCGCACAGCACCGUGUGGAGACCGUUAUCAUCCAAAGUUUGUACUCUUACAAUAGAGUUAAGAAGUUUCUUGAUUGAAUGAAUCAAUCUUUCAUUGCCUCCUGCACGAUUAUCUCUUUCUGUAGUUCAUCGUGCAUCUGAGAGUGAUUCCAUUUUUUCAAAUAUUUUUUUAAAACUCUCGAUCAGUGCCAACAAAGUUGAUUCCGUUGUCUGAACAGAGUUCUUUGACUUGGUUACUCCGUGCUAAAUAGUGACGUAGAGUGUUGAUGAACGAAUCUGUCUCCAAUAACACAGCUACAAAACAAUCAACUGACUGAGGUGAAUGGUGGCUCGUCUGGAGAUACUGUAUCACGUUGAGUUGCUGGCCUGCUAGCUGACACUGCCUGAACCCGUUGGCGGACAACACAUUUGGCCAAGAUCUUUCAUAUUGCCACACUGUUUUUGUGACGUAGCUUUGCCAACAUGUGGCUUCUUCCACCAUCGGCCACUUGUUUGUGUACUUGCCUGAGAAGAAGGUCAGUGAUACAUAAAUCUUUGGUCAUGAUGAUGUUGUGAGUGGAUCCCAAAAAUGUUGACAAUGAUGACAUUCUUUGACAAAAUUUUUUUAUUUACAAAAGGGCACAAGACUGGCAAAUAAACUCACCGGUAAACAGAGCCAAGAUAACCGUGAACAACAUUUUCAAAUUGCAACGAUUUUCACGAUUCGCUUGCCAGGCUGGUCCCCACGCCCUGCAAAUAGCAGCGGUAAAUAUAUUAUCCCCCCCACCCCCAAAAAAAACUUUCCUUAACAUUUCAUGAUAAUGUAUUGCGCCAUUGCUUGGCACAAUACAUGUAAUCUUUUUUUUUAAUGAAUGAAGUUAUAAGGCCACUAAUCCUUGUCAUAAGUGCAUUUAAGUUUCCUGUAAUUGAAUGUGUGUCAUAUUGAACACAUUUUAUUAGAUUUAUGUUGCACUGUUUUUUUUUCUUUUUUCCAAAAUCCGUGACUUUAGGUUGUUUGUGAAAAUAGUGACAUUCAAUGUCAAUUUCUUUCACAACUUACAUGGCUCAACCAACCAUGGCUUGUAAAAAUUAAGAUUCACAUUGCGUUGAAUGACAGGCCCAUAGAAUGACCUUAAUAAGUUUCAUCAUAUAUAUAUUUAUGGAUAAAAGUAUUUUUGUAGAGAUUUACAGGUAUGUGUAGUAAUUUGUUACUUGUCUACAACUAUUGUAAAUGUAUGUUAAAUCAACCGGCACACAUUAUAUUUUAAGUAGUGCUGUCAGGAGAUUUAAAAAAUGGUGGAGAUUAAUUUAUGAUCUGUAAUUAAUCUAUUUUUUAACUUCAUCUAAAAAUUGCUGAGAAAACCACUAUUUUCAUUUUUAAUUCAUUACAUUAUUGAGGCAAAAGAGUGACAUCACAAAAAAGUGGAAUUAUAAAGUAUUUUAUUCUUUUUUAAACAGACUUGAAUAAGUGCAGCCCUAGGCAUUUACCUUCUGCUGUAUUUGAAACAUGACCCAAGUCACACCUGCAACCUUUAGUUUCGACCACCAGGGGGGAUAUCAAUGUUUUUUUUUUUGUGGUAAAUCUCCAAAUAAAUGUGAAAUAAAAAUAAAACAGAUCAGGUCCACUUUUCUGAGCAAUUCAAGUACCGUGUUUUCCGCACUAUUGGGCACACCAAAAAAAAGCCCUUAAAAGCUCACCGAGCGCCUCAAAAUCCGGUAUGUCUUUUAUGUGGUCAUUACGGUAAUACAGUACGUCGACUCCAAGAUGGCUUCUUCCUGAAGACAUGCUUCCAAUGUUAUAACUUGCUGUUGGUUCAGUGAACUGUGUCGCUGCUUUAUUAAAUAAGUAUGUGUUGCAGCUCCGAAAAAAGGAGAGCUGUGGUGGUAAUUUUUAAAAACAGUCUCAACAAAUACAGGUACGUCUUUGUCUAUCUCCGUGCUUCCUUCCGUUCGACUCAAGAGGCCUUCAAGACCGCAAACGAAAAACGUAAAGUAACGAUUACUACAAAACUACAAAAAUUUUAAAUAAUACAUCAAAACUGAAAAGCAAGCGAGAAUAUUACAAAAUAAGAAAUUACAGAAUUUAUAUUGUGAUUUCAUCAUUUGUGAAUACACAACAAAGGAAUAAAUAACUACGACUGACAUCUUGUUGUGUUAUUUUCACUUCAAGAUGGCGCAGCGAGAGUGGCAGCAGCUCCUAUUUAUUUUGUUCUUCUACUUUUUCCUCUUAUAACUUUCCUGCUGUGAAGUGGGCAUUUCUCCAUUGUGAGACUAUUAAAGGUUUUCUUAUUUUAUCUUAUCUGGUUGUACUCUUGGAUCGACGAUAAAGGAAAUGUCAAUGGGGUUUUCGGAGGCGGUCAUGAACGCCUCUCGAGUUGACCUGAAGAAAAGAAGGAAGGAGACGGACACACAUGAGUUUGUUGAAAAAAAUGAGACCUCUGGUUGUGGUUUUAUUAUUUUUUCUAAACGCAGACUUUAUGAAUGGUUUUCACAGUCUCAGCAAGUACAGAUACUGUGAGUCUUUGUUCGUGUACGUGCUUUCUUCUGUUCCACUCGAGAGGCGUUCAAGGCCCUGUCCGAAAAACGUAAAUUAAUUCUUACUUCAAUGAAACCACAAAGAAAAUCAAGCGAGGAAAUCACAAAAUAAAUUCUGUCGGGAGGGGGGGCUACAGAAUUUAUUUUGUGAUUUCCUUGCUUGAUUUUCUGUUUUGAUACAUUUUCAAUUUUUUUAGUUUCAUUUAAGUAUAGUAAUAUUUAAUGUACAUUUUUCAAAGGCGGUCCAUGUUGAACGGACGCCUCUCGAGUUGAAUGGAAGGAGCUUACCACCAUCUAGUGGAUGCAUUGUAGAUUGCGCCUUUUAGUGCGAGCCGUCUAACAUGAAAAAAAUUGACAAAAUAACCAUUCAUUGAACGUGUGCCUCAUAAUCCAGUGCGGGUUUUUUUGUGCGGAAAAUACGGUACUGAAGUUAGUUCAGAUAAUAAAAAAUAAAGACAGACCCUUCAAUCACAGUGCUGUAAGUUAGAUGACUUUGUGCCUUGUCCACGGGGUGUUCUCCUCGAGUUUAGUUUGCUGAAUAGCUCUGCUAUGGCUCGCUCUAUUGCUAACGCUAUCGGUGCUAACGUUAGCUGUGGCUGCACUCGCGACUGGGUGCUUUGCAUUGAUGUGGUAGGCUAAACUUGCACUGCUACGGUGGUAAGAAAACUCCUUACAAAUUAGGCACAACACUACCUUCAUCAAUCGUGCCGUCAGUGCUUUUUUGGAAUGUAAAUUUUCCAUUUAUUGGGUCGAAAACCCUCACAUGCUCCUCCAUGUUCACCUCUCCUCUCCUCAGCGCUGCUUAGCUUCCACUCCCAACUCCAAUGGGGGCCAGUCAUCUUGUGCUAAACAAGCCCAAACAUAAUGAAAGCCAAUCAAUGUCCGCGUAGGCUGUGACUGACCACUGUUUCCCCGCCCUCAACAACUCGAACUAGUGAUGGGAAUUCCGGCUCCUUUUAGAGAGCCGGCUCCUUUUGAUCGGCUCCCUUGCUUGUCUUUUCUCUUCAAAUUGUACUGGUGGGUGGAUAUUUCUGAUGUGCUUGUGCAGGUUAUUUGUGGAGCCUGAUCUAUGGGAUAUUUAAACCUCGCAGUCUACACGCUGCCUUUGAACUAUCAAUUAAAUUGAAAUGAGUCCAUAUUUCACUGCGUUUCCUAUCCAUUUUCUCACCUUUCCACUAUACACCGUGUUGUUUUUUUUCACUGUUGUUUUUUUCACUAACUCGUCUCCUCGUCUGUCUUGUUCGCGUGCUGCUCAGUGUGCUGCUGUGUGUCGCUUCUCUAACCCCUCCCCCUUCUCUAAACUGCAGGGCGUGCGUGCGUGCGUGCGUAACCCUCCCCUUCCGGCUCCCCAACGAGGAGCCGGACCCAAUGAGGUGGGAGCCGAGUCUCAUCGUUCACUUCAAAGAGCCGGCUCGUUCGCGAACGACACAUCACUAACUCGAACACAAGAAGCCAAUACAUAAAAAAGGAUAUUAUGAAAAGGCAACCCACUUACAGAAACAAUAAAGUUAGAGAUUAAAGUUUCGAUUAACGCAAUUAAAAAAACAUCACGCGCGAAAUAUGAAAUAUUUUUCGCACUUAACGCGGUAAUUUGACACCUGUAAUUUUAAGGUACACAAUCAGCCAAAUUAAUGGGUCGGACAAUUCAUCAUGGUCUCUUUCAGAAUACAUAAUUAAAUCAGUAGGCCUCAAUCCUCCAUUUUGCAUGUUUUUUUUAAUUCAUGGUUGUGAUGUGAAACGUUAAAUAUUCAUUGAGUUUCUACUGCUCAAAGGCUGAAAUAAGCAACAAAUUGUUUGAUGCCCUAAUACUUUUAUGCAGUACUGUUUAUGGAUAAAAAUAUCAGUUAAUGUGUAAAAAAUGAAGUCAAAUAUUUCAUGUUUAGUUGUUGUAAAUGAAAAUGCUCAAAAUAUAUAUUUUUCAUCAAAAGUAUUCUAAUUGGUUUCCUUAUAGUAUGUUCGUUACGAAUACAAAUAAAAUGAAAUUGCAGUUCUUGCAGUGGUUUGAGAACUGUGGAAUUUUAUGUAGGUAUGGAAUGGAAGUCAAAAUUUUGUGUCGAGCUGGUCUACUGUUCCAUGGCCUGGAUGAAAACAAUACUGUUCCAAUUGAACCUGACAUUCAACUUCUUGACUGACCCUCCUCUCUAAAACUCAGAAAUAGACCUUACCAGAGGGCUGAGGAGUGUGAUCAUCCUAUCAUUGGAACAAAACCUCUGGUCCCACUUAUUCACAAGGGGAACCAUCACCCCUCUGUGCCAAUCAAGAGGCAUUGGCCCAUACGUUCAUGUCAACUUUCAUGUCAACUUUAUUCUCAAAUGUGCUACUUGAGCAAAAUACAGCACAGAUUACAUUUCUUUCCUCAGGAGAAAGAGAAGAACCGCUGCGGGUGCCCGCGCCGCCAUGUUCAUAUGAUGUUGUAGUGGCCCGUCACCCAGGACAGCCCCACAACAUCACCUUUAUGACCCCAGGCCCCUGGGCCCUUGCCAACAAGGAGAUUUUAAACCAAUUUGGUGACCUCAACCCAAGAGACAGGAGAGCCCACCUCAGAGGACUCUCCUCACCAGAAGGCGUGUCGGUUGAACUUGAGGAGGCCUUUAAAAGUAUUCUCCCCACCAACUCACAACAUCCCAGUUGAGGUCAGCAGCAUCCCAUCACCAAUAUAAACACACAGAGUUGAUGGUGGACUGCUUCCCCCUAUUGAAACUCCGGCUGAAUGGACUAGAAUUUCCUUGAAGCCAUCCGGAAAUACUUCUCCAUAGCCUCACUGAACUCCUCCAACCUCUAUUUUAUGCCUCAGUGACCACUAAAGUUGCAUUCCACUUGGCAUGCUGAUAAACAUCAGCCGCAUCAGGAGUUGGAAAGUCUAAAGUCUGUUCCUCCCAAUCACGGCCUUCCAGGUCUCACUUUCACUGCCCAUAUAAGCAUUGAAGUCCAAGAAAUUUUAAAAGAAUGGGUACUCACAGCUGAUGUUUGAUGCAUGGGCACAAACAGCUGUCAGGACACACCCCAAGGCAGAAUUCCAAUGUCUCCUGGGGUGAAUUCCAAUGUACUGGCACUGGAAGAAAUAAGUCAGUGGCACCAGAGGCCAACCUGAGUGUUGAGUACGACUAUAUCUAGUCACAAUAUCUUGACUUAGCAUCUCAGGCUUCUCCACUGCCAGAAAAGUGACCAUCCACAUCCCUGUUGCUUAGGGUGGGCAGUCUUGGUCCCUGCCUGCGGCCACAAAGCAGCUUGAUAUGAAGCUGACCUUCUUGGCCCCUCCCACAGGUGGUAAGCCUAUGUGUAGGGGGACCAAUGUUACCACUUAGGGCUGUGCCCAGCUGGGCCUCAUGUAUGCAGGUCCGGCCACAAGGCGCUUGUCAUUGAGGGUCCCUGUAAUCCUAUGAAUAAGAAUACCAUGAGGCUGCAGAAUAAAAAGUGAGAAACCAUUCCAGUGUGAGUUUUGUGAGCGGCGAUUUGCCAACAGCAGUGACCGUAAGAAGCAUUCACAAGUCCACAGUUCUUCAAAACCCUAUGACUGUAAGGCUCUGGGCUGUACUAAGUCCUAUACA